GCAGAGGUGGGUGAGUACUAAAAUUCUUGCCUUCCAUGCAGAAGGCCCGGGUUUGAUUCCUGGCCAAUGCA
rnacentral:tRNA from 1 species